GAUGAACGCUAGCUACAGGCUUAACACAUGCAAGUCGAGGGGCAUCAGGGAUCUAGCUUGCUAGAUUUGCUGGCGACCGGCGCACGGGUGAGUAACGCGUAUCCAACCUUCCCCUUAGUAGGGCAUAGCCCGGCGAAAGUCGGAUUAAUACCCUAUGUUCUUUACGGCAGACAUCUAAUGUAAAGCAAAGAUUCAUCGCUAAGGGAUGGGGAUGCGUCCGAUUAGGUAGUCGGCGGGGUAACGGCCCACCGAGCCAUCGAUCGGUAGGGGUUCUGAGAGGAAGGUCCCCCACAUUGGAACUGAGACACGGUCCAAACUCC
rnacentral:rRNA from 1 species